UGUAGGUUGCCUGGACGUAAUAAAAAUGGCGAACCUGAUUAACCGAUGAAUAUAAAUUCUAAUUAUAUAUAAAUAUAUUUCUUCUGUCUUUAGUAGCUACGCAAGAUGAGUGAUCAUGCGUGGAUGUAUACCGGUCAUCCUAGUCAGAAAGAGAUGACGAAAGAAUGGUUUGUAAAAACAAAGGAAUUUGUGAAAGCCGCAUUCGCAAAUGGCCAGGAAAGAAACUAUUGCCCCUGUCCUGGAUGAGACAACUAUAAAAAGACGACAGAGGCUGUAAUGAUUAAACACCUGCAGAGGAGGGGUUUUAAGCGUAAUUAUACGGUGUGGACAUUUCAUGGUGAGUCUAUACAACGCACAAG
rnacentral:lncRNA from 1 species